rnacentral:lncRNA from 10 species
AGGUAAAUGUGCAUUUCUUGACAUCUUGGAUCUCCAUUCUGCGUCAGGGGACCCCCAGCUCACUUGUCAGAUGAGGAACGGAUUGAAGGUCUCACAUAACCCUUACAACAGGCCUCGGGAAGGAGGCCAGUGGAAGAAGAGCUGUUCACCAGCGAGGACCGCCCCUUGUCCGUUUGAAAGGAGAAGGCACUGGAUUACUCUGUGCCCUGGGGGAGACCUAAUGUGUCAGCAAACCACAGGCAGCCUGGAGAAAGUCAUGCCAACAAGCCAGAACUUAGCAUUCCUUUCUGUUAACCCCAAGUUUUUAGAUGAAACUUCACUUCCUUCACCAAUCGCAAAUCGGAGGAUUUUUGAAUCCACCUAUUAUCUGUAAGCACCCACUUCAAUGGAUAACCUCCAUGUAUUAAUUUAUUAUUUUUGCCUGUAACUUCUGCUUUUCUGAAACUUACCUCUGCCUUCAAAAAUUCUUACUUGUGGCCAGGCACGGUGGCUCAUGCCUGUAAUCCCAGCACUUUGGAAGGCUGAGGUGGGUGGUUCACUUGAGCCCAGGAGUUCAAAACCAGGCUGAGCAAUGUGGCAAAGCUCCAUCUCUACUAAAAAUGCAAAAAUUAGCCAAGUGUGGUGGCACACGACUGUAAUCUUAGCUACUUGAGAGGCUGAGGCAUGAGAAUUGCUUGAAUCCAGGAGGCAGAGUUUGCAGUGAACAGAGAUCAUGCCACUGCACUCCAGCCUGGGCAACAGAGCAAGACUCUGUCUCAAAAAAUUACAAAAAAAAAACCUUGCUUGUAAGCUAUCGGGGAGGUCAGAUCUUGGGCAUGAGCUACCCAAUUGUCCUUGCUUGGAGCCCUGCAAAUAAAUGUCCUCCCUUAUCUUGCUGUAAAACCUCAGUGUGAAUGUUUGGCUUUACUGUACUGGGCUAAUGGAACCUAGUUAGAUUCAGUAACACCCAGAGUGGAUGAGAUACCUUUUCAAGGUUCUUCUGAACCAUAUGAUCAUGCAACUUCAGGAGAAAUUCAGAUGCUAAAAAGAA